AUUGAACGCUGGCGGCAUGCCUUACACAUGCAAGUCGAACGGCAGCACGGGUGCUUGCCCCUGGUGGCGAGUGGCGAACGGGUGAGUAAUACAUCGGAACAUGUCCUGUAGUGGGGGAUAGCCCGGCGAAAGCCGGAUUAAUACCGCAUACGAUCUACGGACGAAAGCGGGGGGCCUUCGGGGCUCGCGCUGUAGGGUUGGCCGAUGGGUGAUUGGCUCGUUUGGGGGGUGAAGGCCUACCAAGGCGACGAGCAGUAGCGGGUCUGAGAGGAGGACCAGCCACACUGGGACUGAGACACGGCCCAGACUCCUACGGGAGGCAGCAGUGGGGAAUUUUGGACAAUGGGCGAAAGCCUGAUCCAGCAAUGCCGCGUGUGUGAAGAAGGCCUUCGGGUUGUAAAGAACUUUUGUCCGGAAAGAAAUCCUUGGCCCUAAUACGGUCGGGGGAUGACGGUACCGGAAGAAUAAGCACCGGCUAACUACGUG
rnacentral:rRNA from 1 species